UGGGGAAUAUUGCACAAUGGGCGGAAGCCUGAUGCAGCGACGCCGCGUGGGGGAUGACGGCCUUCGGGUUGUAAACUCCCUUCACCAUCGACGAAGGGUUUCUGACGGUAGAUGGAGAAGAAGCACCGGCUAACUACGUUCCAGCUGCCGCGGUAAUACGUAGGGUGCGAGCGUUGUCCGGAAUUACUGGGCGUAAAGAGCUCGUAGGUGGUUUGUCGCGUCGUCUGUGAAAUUCCGGGGCUUAACUCCGGGCGUGCAGGCGAUACGGGCAUAACUUGAGUACUGUAGGGGAGACUGGAAUUCCUGGUGUAGCGGUGAAAUGCGCAGAUAUCAGGAGGAACACCGGUGGCGAAGGCGGGUCUCUGGGCAGUAACUGACGCUGAGGAGCGAAAGCAUGGGGAGCGAACAGG
rnacentral:rRNA from 1 species